AGGUGAGCUCUACCUCCUCUUUUUUUCCUUUUUCUGUUUUUUUAGUUUUAGGUUUAUGUUUAGUUUAGAUUUAGAUUUAGUUUUAGUUUUAGGUUUAGUUUUAGUUUAGUUUUAGGUUUAGAUUUAUUUUUUCCUUUUUUCUGUUUUAUUAGUUUUAGGUUUAUGUUUAGUUUAGAUUUAGUUUUAGAUUUAGGUUUAGUUUUAGGUUUAGUUUAGUUUGAGGAAAGAAGAAGAAGAAGAGAAAAAGAGGAGAGGAGGAGAAGAAGAAGAGGAAAAAGGAAAGGAAGAAGAAGAAGAGGAGGAGAAGAAAAAAGAAGAAGAAGAAAAAAGAGGACAGGAGGAGAAGAAGAAGAGGAAAAAGGAAAGGAG
rnacentral:lncRNA from 1 species